rnacentral:rRNA from 1 species
UAGGGAAUCUUCCGCAAUGGACGCAAGUCUGACGGAGCAACGCCGCGUGAGUGAAGAAGGUUUUCGGAUCGUAAAACUCUGUUGUUAGAGUAGAACAAGUGCUAGAGUAACUGUUAGCGCCUUGACGGUAUCUAACCAGAAAGCCACGGCUAACUACGUGCCAGCAGCCGCGGUAAUACGUAGGUGGCAAGCGUUGUCCGGAUUUAUUGGGCGUAAAGCGAGCGCAGGCGGUUCCUUAAGUCUGAUGUGAAAGCCCCCGGCUCAACCGGGGAGGGUCAUUGGAAACUGGGGAACUUGAGUGCAGAAGAGGAGAGUGGAAUUCCAUGUGUAGCGGUGAAAUGCGUAGAUAUAUGGAGGAACACCAGUGGCGAAGGCGACUCUCUGGUCUGUAACUGACGCUGAGGCUCGAAAGCGUGGGUAGCAAACAGGAUUAGAUACCCUGGUAGUCCACGCCGUAAACGAUGAGUGCUAAGUGUUGGAGGGUUUCCGCCCUUCAGUGCUGCAGUUAACGCAUUAAGCACUCCGCCUGGGGAGUACGACCGCAAGGUUG